rnacentral:rRNA from 1 species
CGCUAUCACUCCUACGGGAGGCAGCAGUGGGGAAUAUUGCACAAUGGGGGAAACCCUGAUGCAGCCAUGCCGCGUGUGUGAAGAAGGCCUUCGGGUUGUAAAGCACUUUCAGUAGGGAGGAAGGUAGUGUAGUUAACACCUGCAUUAUUUGACGUUACCGACAGAAUAAGCACCGGCUAACUCCGUGCCAGCAGCCGCGGUAAUACGGAGGGUGCGAGCGUUAAUCGGAAUUACUGGGCGUAAAGCGCAUGCAGGCGGCCUGUUAAGUCAGAUGUGAAAGCCCGGGGCUUAACCUCGGAAUUGCAUUUGAAACUGGCAGGCUAGAGUCUUGUAGAGGGGGUAGAAUUUCAGGUGUAGCGGUGAAAUGCGUAGAGAUCUGAAGGAAUACCAGUGGCGAAGGCGGCCCCCUGGACAAAGACUGACGCUCAGAUGCGAAAGCGUGGGGAGCAAACAGGAUUAGAUACCCUGGUAG